AGCCAGACUCCUACGGGAGGCAGCAGUGGGGAAUAUUGCACAAUGGGGGAAACCCUGAUGCAGCGACGCCGCGUGAGUGAAGAGGUAUUUCGGUAUGUAAAGCUCUAUCAGCAGGGAAGAAAAUGACGGUACCUGACUAAGAAGCCCCGGCUAACUACGUGCCAGCAGCCGCGGUAAUACGUAGGGGGCAAGCGUUAUCCGGAUUUACUGGGUGUAAAGGGAGCGUAGACGGCAUGGCAAGUCAGAUGUGAAAGCCCGGGGCUCAACCCCGGGACUGCAUUUGAAACUGUCAGGCUGGAGUGCAGGAGAGGUAAGUGGAAUUCCUAGUGUAGCGGUGAAAUGCGUAGAUAUUAGGAGGAACACCAGUGGCGAAGGCGGCUUACUGGACUGUAACUGACGUUGAGGCUCGAAAGCGUGGGGAGCAAACAGGAUUAGAUACCCUGGUAU
rnacentral:rRNA from 1 species